rnacentral:antisense_RNA from 1 species
CUCUAUGGCGGCUGUGUGCGGGCAGACUUCGGUCUGACCGGGUGUACCUGACCGGCAAUCUCACCCCGCACAUAGCUGCCACCUUU